rnacentral:rRNA from 1 species
UACAGAGGGGGCAAGCGUUGUUCGGAAUUACUGGGCGUAAAGGGCGCGUAGGCGGCCGCCUAAGUCAGACGUGAAAUCCCUCGGCUCAACCGGGGAACUGCGUCUGAUACUGGGUGGCUUGAAUCCGGGAGAGGGAUGCGGAAUUCCAGGUGUAGCGGUGAAAUGCGUAGAUAUCUGGAGGAACACCGGUGGCGAAGGCGGCCUGCUGGGCAGUAGCUGACGCUGAAGCGCGACAGCGUGGGGAGCGAACAGG